AUGAAGAAACAUCAUAAAGAACAACAGACGAGAAGGGGUGGUAGGUAGCAAGGAGGUUAUAUAACCUCCUUGGUAGGUACCGUAGGCUGGUUUGUAUUGGUGGCCUUACGUUUGGUGGCCUUACGUUUUCAACCCUGAUUCACACCUCAAGAUGACACCCGAUGCCUCAAGAGUCAUCCAAUUGUUGCGUUCUCCAAACGGACCUCUAAAAUUUCGUCUAAUCAAAUUCACAUUCCGGUCACUAACUCUCAUAUGCGUCAGAUGCUAGCUCCAAAACAUUGACGGUGCAUGGCACACUGAACUUCCAAGACUAUAGUGUUAAAUCUUCCAUCUUCCUAUUUCUAAUAUUGCAAGAAAUUGCGACCAUCUGCCGGGGCCCGAAGUUUUCCGAAGAAUUCCGAAAGUUGGCGAUUCUCAGCAGGCAGAGAGGUGUACCGCCUGGUGUCAACAUGGAAGAGGAAGGCAGCGAGGCGGAAUGUGGAGAUCCAGCAAUGACAAAGUUGCUGAAUUAUUUUGAGACAAUGGAGGCCAGUGGGUCCCAGUCCAAGGAAGUUUGCAAAUACAACAUCAUGAUUGACAGCUUGCUUGAGACAAACAUGAAGCUGAAGACAAUUAACAAGGUGCUACAAGACAGGAAUAAAGAGCUUCAGGAAAGAAACAAAGAACUUCAGAAAAGAACUGAAGAGCUUGGGGCAGAGAACAAGCAGCUGAAGGGGUGCCUGGGGAAAUGUCGUAUGAAGGAAAGUUCUCCAGAGGAAGAAGAGGAACAUGAUAAGUCAGAAGCAGGAGGAUCAAAAGGAGCUGAGUCUGCCGUAGUGUCGUGUACCUUGUCUGGUGUAGAGGAGUCUGAAAUGUGCCCAGCCGAGUCCUGUCAAACCGGUGCACAGUUACAGGAAGGUCUACUACAUAAAGACAGAGAAGAAGCUGAUGGAGCCAUCCAGGCUGUUCCAGGUGCCCAAAAGGAGCCUCAGCAAGUUCAGGAAGGUCAAGAAAACACUGGUGAACAGCAGAAAGACGAAACGGUGCCCAAGCAGCCUUCGAUGGCCAGCUGCAGGGAAAAUAAUGACUGUAACAUGGAUGGACAGUCAUCAGAGACACUGCACAAUUGUCUGGUGAUGUUGAACAAUGAAAGCCACAAUGCAAAUGGUCACAGUCAUGAUGACUUAACUUUGACCAGAGAGGAGGCAACAAGUGAUUUUAUUGACCCAGCACAAACAGAGAGAUCUGCCUUUCGGGUUGUGUAUGACAUGAUGAGAGAGUUGAGCAUGCAGGCAGUGAGUGGAACAUUGCAAGGCUCUAAUACUCUCAGUGACACCCAGCGACUAACAGUUGACACUAUUGGGGGAACAGGGGAUCCUACCAAACCUGUGGAAGACAGCAUAGUUGUAACCAAUGUGACAGCAGCUGUAUCUGCCAUGCAGGACAGUUGUAGUGGCAAAAGAAGUGAUGAAGCUGAGGACACAGAUGGUUGCAGAAGAACUAGGUUGAGAAGUAGGAGUAGAGGAAAGAGCACAACAUCCAGUGCCCUGCUGCAGGAUGCAACCCCUGUACAGGAAGAGCAUCAAGAUGCCAGUAAAGAAGACUUGGAGCCAUCUACAGCUUCAAAUGACCAACCAACCAAAACAUGGGAUCAGACUUCACAGACUAACAUUCAGAAAGAAGACAGAGUGGUUGAGCUUCCACAAGGUGGCUGCCAUUCCAUCCCAGAACUGUCAGACUUUCUCUGCAGUCCAGAAAAGGUAGCAGAACUCACAGAGGAGUAUGUGUCAGAUCUACCCAAAGCACAGACACUCGACAGAAGGAGGAAGAAAACUAGGAGAAGAGGAAGGAAACCUGUCAUCAAAGAUGGGAGUAUUGUCAACAUCAGCAUGUCUUCAAGAGAUGUUAAAAACUAUUUGCAAACACACCACGUUCAGGAGGAGACUAGGUUUCGAACAGAUUGUUCUGGAGAGAGUCCAACAAAGAAAAGAUCAGGAAGUCCUGUGAUUGAUGCUGAAAGUGCGUUGAGAGCAGUGAUGGUCAUAUCAAACUCCUUGGAAGAUAGUACCGACUGUCAGGCAGAGAAGAGUAAAAGCAAAGGGACAGAUUCUGCUAAAGAGUUGGUUCCCACAGUAGCAACAUGUAUGGUGGUGGACAGACAGGAGGAAAGGCAGCCCUCUGAGCAAGUAAACAUAGCAGCAACAAAUGUCUGCCCUAGUCAGACUGACUCUUUACAACAAAGGACAGGUGUGGACCCAUCAACAGAUGGGGAAACAUGGACAACAAACUUAAGCCGUGCACGCCGGCUAGAACAGGAAAGGUAUGGAUCAAAGAUGAUGUCUGAUGAUACAGACGUUGACACACUACCUGCAGCACCCAAGCGCCGUGGACGUGGCAGGCCUCCAAAAAAGAGGGUACCUAAAGAUAAGAGAGCGGGAGCAUUAACUUACCUCAGUGAUGCAUGCAGAGUUGAACAGAAGGAUUGUGUAUCAAAGGUAACUUCUGAUGAUACAGACUUGGAAACAAGUCAUGUAGAACCACCUAAGCGUCGUGGCCGUGGGAGGCCUCGAAAAAAGAGGCCACCUGCAGACAUUAAUCUACAUGAAGAAAACAACGGAUCCAAUAUACGCAGUAAUCUACAUGGAGAGAACAACAAAUCCAACAUAUGCAGGAGACUCAGGUCUCUGAGUAAAGAGAAGACAGAGAACUGUGAAUCCAGCAUCUCCAGCAGAUUGAGGUCUAGGAGCAGAGAGACGCCUGGAGAAAGCCGGACAGAGCUGUUCAGAAGUGAUGACAGUGAGCAGGAAGUGGUCAGAGAUUCAGCAAGUUCUUCCUCAGUUGAGGACAGUCAGAACAGUGCACCUGGGAUGUCCCAGGAAGUGUCUUCUAUGAGGGUGAUCCCAGCCUUCUCACACUCACUUGCUAAUGAGAAUACUGACAAUGCUAUUGAGGCAGGUAAGAGCAAAAGCUUGGAGAAGGAUUCUGUGGAAGAGGCUGCCCAUAAGGCAACAACAAACGUAGAUGGUGAUGAGGAAGAACAGCAAGAUUUAUCUCAGAUCAGAUCACAAGAAAUGGCAGAUGUUUGUCGCAGCGACGCUAUCCGAGAAGUGACAGCAGACAGUCUUCCUGUAGGUACUGUCCUGCCAGUUGACAGUGUGACUGAGACCAUCGACAUGGGGCACAAAUUGGAGGAGUUAAGAGCAAAGGUGCCUUUAGAUAACACUGGGGAAAUUGCACCCAAGCCUCGAAAGUCUCUUCGAAAGUAUGAAUGUAGGAAGCCUCAAGUGAAAGCAAGCUUAGACAGGUUAAGAGCAAGGAGUAAUGAAAGGUAUCUGGAAGAAGAACCUCAAGUGUUAGGUCAGAAGAAGAGCGAACAAGGAGUACCACAGAACACGGAAAGUCUUGCUACAGCUGUUGAUGCAGUAAGUGAUGGUGUCACAAACCUCAUCCAACUAUCUGAAGACAUAACUGAUGUUUCGACAGAGGUGACUUUACCUCUUGACAAUGACAGGAAGGAAGACGGGCCCACAACCACAAGUUAUCAGGAGGUCUUGAGGAGAUUUCCUGACGUCUUGGCCAAGUCUCCCGUCGUCAUGAUCAAACGAUUAGAGAUGACUUCACAGACAACACGUGUAUGUGAGUCAGAACCACAGUACCAGAAAGACAGUGGUAACAAUGUCAGUGAAGAACUGGAUCCUGAAGUAACAACCACAAGUCCCUCUAUGCAAGAAUCAGCGCAGAGAUCUCUGCACAACUUCCCAACACCUGAAAGUUUAGAUGAGUCAGAACAUGUGUUAGAAAACAAGUUGUGUCAUCGUGUUAAAGCAAGGAAAGCGAAAAGAGAGAGUUCUGCAGAAAGGAGAAAUGACUUUCCAAGGAAUCUGGGUAUGACAAGAGCUUGGACCAAAGCAGAGGUGAUAAAACAGAUACGUCAGUAUAACCUGAAGGACAAGAGUCUCCAACAUCCCUACGAAACUGCCCAUGAAGAAGUGCAUCAGGAAACAAAAUGUCGCAUUGAUGUGGAAAGUGCACUUACGACUGUGACAGUAAUUCAGAAGUCUUCCCUGCCACCAGGAGGGAAUGCUGUCACCAAGAGACAUGGGAGCAGCAGUGAUAAGUGUACAGGUGAGAUUGACCAGUGGCACACAGUUAAACACAACAAGAGGUCAAGCACACUGCACGAGGAGGAUCAACUCUCUCAUAGCUCUGCAGGACAAGGUUGCUCUAGUGAGGAGACACUAGCGCCUGAUGUAGGUGAUGAUGCUGAGAGAAGAGAGAAUGGGAUAGAAAGUCUCGGAGAACAGGAGGUAGAAAAUCAUGAGAAUGGGGCCGGGAUAAAACCAGGGACUCUCAAGAUUCGUGUCCGUCUCUGCAAAAGUAAAGUUGAUGGAAAGAUCAGGGCAAAGUGCAUAGACACAGCUGCGAGUGGAGGAGACCAAAAGGGAAGUAGAGAAAGUAGUGGACAAAAACCACAUGUCAAAAGAAAGAUGCAUGUUGGAAUAGCAGAACUGCAAAAAGGUGAAGAAACUUUGGAGAAUGGCGGUAUGAGCAAGCAAAUUCCUUCCAGUGAAGUUCAACAAGUUGGUAAGAAUGCCAGUUUGUCAAAGAUGUCUGUUCAUGCUCAAAAACAAAGACUGUGUUGUACAAAAGAAUUAUCUGGGGGCAGAAACAAAGCAGCAGUAACAAAAAGAUUAAGAACAGGAAGUGAGGGAAGUGAGGGAUAUCAUGAAGAUGUCACAACAAAAAAUUUAAGACGAGCAAAAACAUCUGGGAAGUCAAAUCCACUGGAACGUGAAGUGAUGUACAAGUUGAAGCGGAGGGACAGCAAAACAGCAGAGCAAGCCUGUACUGAAGUAGUGGUGGCAAAUGGUCAAACAUGUCAAACCUCAGACAAGAGGAAAGGACUUAGAUAUACAAAUGCUGUAGCAAAACGUCCCUCAGGGGGCAGCAUGGAAAACAAGACAGGAGUGAAGGAGCCUGUCGUUAAGACUGGAAUCACGAAGGUUGCAAGCUGUGACAGAAAUAGGAAGAGAUGGAAAACUGACUCUGAAAGCAUUCCACAGACAACAGCAGAUGAGCAAUGUCACAAGCCUACCACGGGAAGACAUCAGGAAGAGAUUCGGAGAACUCUGGGUUAUUCACCAUCAGACACAACUAUUCAGAAUAAAACUAAGAAAGACUUUGGCUCUGAGCUUAUGCUGGCAGACUGUGCCAUUGAGAAAGCUGAAAGGCAGGUAGGGAAAAAAACACCCUCACAGAAGUCUUUGCAACCUAGGAAAAAGAGACGGGUUGAAGCGAAAAAUCCCUCGACUGUAAAUGCUGUGGAGAAAGUGGGAAAACAGAGACAGAGUACGGAUUCACAAAAGCAGUCGAACAAAGCAGGUACUCCUGGCCAAGACCAGAUGCAGGGAAUAGAAGUGGUCUCUCCAACAGGGACAGAUUCUACCCGUGGGAGUAACUCAGAAGAACAGUGGUAUACUGUAUCGAGUGGUGGCUGUAACACAAGUAAGACUUCUGAGGAUCAGUGGUGGCGUGCAUCUAGCGAGCAGAGAACCCCAACUGAUGCAGCUGAUGAUGUGUUCUGGAGUCCUGGUGCGGAUGACGUGGGUGCAGAGGUGGAGGUGCCGUUCAGCCCUGUCAAGGGCAAGAACCCCAGCGUAACCCAGGCAACCCGCGACGGGCAGCUUAACAGGGUCACCAGUGAAGGACAAGACAGUGCACAACGUUGCAAGAAAGUGGCUUCUACAACUAGUACAAGCAGGAAAUCAACCAGGAGCAAAUUGAGUGCUAACAGAAAGAAAGAACCCAAUAAGUCAAGAGGACAGACUCGUGUGAAAGGCAAAAGUAAUGCAUCAGUGAAGGGAAAAGAUAGUUCCACAGAUGCCACGCCGCUAUUAUCUACAGAUAGCAAAAAACAGCCUUCACCCGAAAAGUCUGAUAUGCGAGAGCGGCAGCCAGCAUUGCCAUUGACCUCUAACUGUUCUCCACAGUUUACAGAAGCUGGACAGAAGGUGCAGGUGGUAUUCACAUCCGUCCAGAGUCCAGCCAUGCCUGCAAGUCUGCAUGGGGAUUCCCCUCUCAGUCCCUGGAAGCAACGACCACCAGUGUUUUCCUCCACAAAAGUGCCAAGGAUGGCCCCUCUUGCAGCAAAAAAGACUUCGCAAAAACAGUGUGACAAACAGAAGGCUGGAAAACGCAAACAGGCAAAAGAAAAACCAGCCAACAACACUGUCAGGAACAGAAGGAAGAGUCGGAGGGACCCCACUAUGAGCCAAGAGGAGGACAUUCAUUCAGCAGCCUUCCAAGAGACCUCCGCAGAGCAGCAGCUAGAUGCUGUCUCUGGUAAGGAUGCCAUGAAUGCUCUAAACUGCAUCAGCCUGCAGAAGACUGGUGACUCUGUGGGAAGCUGCAGUCAGCAGUCCAACAUGUCCCUCCACAUGCAGCUAACUCCUCGGGUGAAGGUGCUGGGACCCUGUCGUACCGGCGGAAACGGCAGUUCCCAGACACCAACACAACUUGCAGAGCAGUGCUACCCAGACCCACUCUUGACCAUGGGUUGCAACAAGGUGAUGUUGGAAAACAGCGUAAGGGGUCACAGCACGGACUUGCAGGACUUUGGGAAUGACAGCCCAGUAGUCAACAUGAAUGCUACACUCCCAGCGGUGAGCCAGGCUCCUCAGUUUAACUCAACAGUCUCCCCCACCGCCUUGUCACUUCUAACAUUCCGGUCUGAGCAGGCAAUUUUCACCAACAUGCCGCUGGACACAGGUACUGCCUCACCUCUGGCAGUUUACAACAACAACAUGCCACCGUUCGACACAGUUACUUCCUUGCCAGACAUAAGUUACACCCUGGGAAAGGCUUUUGAGGUGCUUGAUGACUUGGAGGGUGAGAAAACAGCAAUGCAGCGGCCUUUAGCUAACCCCAGUGUCCAAAAAGAAAGUAUUGAGACAUCAAAGAAAAAGCAGUCUUACUACAAAAAGGGACAGGCAGACAUUGAUGAGACUGUUAGCAACACCAUGCCCUUUGGCAAAGAUGUACGUACAGCAGCAAACAACUCCAUCUGUGACACAGGAGUACCGGUCAUCCCGGAGACACAGCAGAGGGACCUGCACCCUCUGGGUAAGAUAUCUCAGGUUGUGCAGGAUGUCCCUACAUCUCCAUCUGUCAAGAGGAAGUUGAGAGAGUUGGUUGAUUCUCCACCUAAAGAAAAGCAGACAGAUAACUUUCCUCCAGUUCCGGUAGUCAUGAUAGACGGGAAGGAGAAAGUGCCCAUAUGUAGGUUGCCACCAGGAAAAAACCCAUACAGUCAAAAGGCUGUACUUCCUGGCCAGUCUCUUCAGCAAAAUGCACCGGGACAUAACUUGUUGGUAUUGGCUAAUGCAUCAGAUCUGGUAGAAAGGCUGUACAGCCCUACCAAAGUGGAUGUGAACAGGAACAACUGCCAGCCAACACCGUACGAGAAGCAGGAAACCAAAAUCAACAGAGAGUCUGCCCGUGAGCUGUCAGCAAAGGUCACGGCUGCCUUGUGCAGUUCAGACAGCCAGGAGCAUGCAGCUGAGGGCAGUGCUGGCAACCCUGAGACUGGGGCACUGAUGGCAGGAAAUUUGGUAGACACUGCUGCAACACAAGGUGUAGAUCAAGGAAAUACUACAGACAUACUGGAGGAGGCAAUGUUGCAAAUAACUGGGAACUGCGUCUCUCAUGAGAAAGAUGCUAACACUGGUAGUAAAACUGUUUGCACUUCCAGUGAUGGCACACCAAAAGAGAACAAUCUUACAAAUGGUCCACAGAGCCUGUGGAGUUCCUCAACAAGCUCUUCCCUACAAAAAGAAGGGUGCAGUAAUUCUGAUCAGAGGCAGAAACAUGAUUCCAGUAUUGUAACAGAAAGCACGUACAGAACACAGGACGAAGGAGAUACCAAUGAGGCUGAGACAGGAAAGGAUGAAUUUGUAGGUCGUUUGCCCGCUGGGCCACCUAUCCGGACCAGCUCCAGGCCUGUGGACAGCUGUACAUCUGUACCUACAACAACUGACACCGACAACAGCAUGUCUGCAAUAGCCACCGAUCCUGUCCUUCCCAACUUCACGACCAUGCCCAGCAUGGUUCCUCUUACCAUAGAGAAGACUUCACAAUCACAAACAGACAAACAGAAUGCUAACAAAAGUAAACAGGCCAAAGAAAAAGAGGCCAACAACACUGUCUGGGACAGCAGGGAGAGGCAGACUGACCCCACGACCAGCCAAGAACAGGACAUCAUAUCAGCUGCCUUCAGGGAAACUUUAGCAGAUCAGCUUUUAGACUCUGUCAGUGGUACUUGUGAGGAUGUGACAGCUCCGAAUCUCGUCCCUCCCAACUCUGUUGUGGACCAUCCCGCACUAGCCCUUAGGGAAGAGCUGGCAGAGUCCUUUGAUUCUGUUGAGGUUGAAGUCCCGGACGUGCCAGAACAAGCAGAACUAAAAACUGGAACAGACCUGAAAACUGAAACGGACAACAAUGCCAACUCAGCAGAGAAAAAAGAGGAGCCAGAGGCAUCCUCCAGUGCCAAGCCUGAUGACGACAGUACACAUAUUGAUGUUGUUAAGACUUCUGAAGAAUUUUGUGAUGCCCAGUCACACACAACGUCCCUCGACUACAGUCCCGAUUCUGACGACAACUGGGAGAACAUGGAGACAAGUGAAAGUGAUGUUCAAGACAACAGGAAGUAUACCAGAGACGGCAACCCUGUAACAGGGCAGCAAGGUGUACAAGGAAAUAUUUUUGGAUGUGUCAAAAAGCCUUCAGUUGGUUCUGGUGGGAGCAAGGCUGCUGAAGUUGAUCAUGUGAAGAGAAACAUGAACAAUAGCAGCUCUGAUGUUUGUCAAGAACCACCGUCAAAAGUCAGAAGGACCUUGUUGAUUGCAAAAAACGAUACUUCAGCAGGGCUACCAGAUGUAGGGAAGUUGUCUGUCACUGAUGCAGUUUUUGGGCCCCCCAGAGGCGCAGACUUUGGUACGAUACGCCAGAAGUCUCCCGAGCUAUCUGAUAGCCCUUUGGUGUCCAGCAGUUCUAACAGCCAUGGUUCCACACAGCUCGGUAGUGUAGUAGAAAAACCUUCUGGUCUCAACGGACUGAACGGAGGCACGAGACCGACGGAAAAGAAGACUUCUCCUGGGUCCUUAGCAAGCUUGGUCAAGAAAGGCAACAUGAAGUUGAAGAAACUGAAACCUCCCAGGUUCCUUGCUGCCAGGACGACCGCCGGAAGCGCAGCGGUGGGUGUUGCGAACAGGAAUCAGACAGACAGACCAACACAACUCCAGCACGGCACACAACAGGGGAAUGGUACAGUCCAGAGCAGGGACAGGACUUCAGCAAGUACUUCUCAGCCUGCUUUGCAAUGGGUAAAGGAGACAGACCAGCACUGCCAGCAGAGAAUGCGCAGACUGGAGCAGGAGGUGCAAACCUUCGUCAAGGAUAGCUCCCAGCAAGAGAUGAAGGUACGGCUCACCACAAAUGACGAGCUUAUGAAGAUCUUUGAGUUUGACCUAUAGAGCAGAGAACUGACAUGAAGUUGGAGAUGAAACAUAUUGCAGCAAGAUACUGUAUUGAGGUGGCACUAGUGCAGGGAUGGACUCUUCUGUUGUACAAGACAAGCAAGACAAAAAUGCCAGUCCAACCUGUGUUGCAGAGGAAGAGAUAGACUUAAGUGUUAAACUUCUGUUGUUGUAUAUGUUUGAGUGGCAGCUGAAUAAUUUGUUAAGACAUAAGUGUAUUUUUAGAUACAAUGUACAGUUGUUUUAAGUGCCUGAUACAAGAAAUGCAGCUGCAUAGAAAGUGCCAAAGAACUGGAAAACUUCUAUUUGUGUAGAUUUUUUCUUCACACAGGUGAUGUUUGCAUUCCAAACAUUAUGAAGAGAGGCUCUUUGUAUAAUUAAUCAUUAUAUUUCUCACUUAUAUCACUCACAACCAUUGUACAUUACCUUGUAGUAAGGUAUUUUUGUUCUUUUCUGCUUUGUAUAUGAACAAGAGUUGUUGUGGGUACUUAAAAAAUCAAAGGAUAGUCAAGUUGCUUUGACUUUCUCACAUGCGUCUGUUUUGUGGUCAAGUAGCAAACAAAUUUAAACAGAAGUUAUUUUUUUCAAGACAUAGUCCUGACAUGUGCAGCAUUUCGAGCUCUUUGAUUUCUGCAGGUACAGAGACUACUAGACAAGUAUACUCCAGAGUCUGGAGAAUACAUCUCGUGUUCAGAGUUAGAUGUUUGGAAAGUUGGAGCUUGGGGGAAAUGUUUAUUUUUCAAAUAUACGAAUUAGGUAUUUGUUACAUCUUAUUUAACACAAAAGAUACAGGUGAAUUAUGGAGAUGAUUUCAUUCAGAAACAAUAUAAAUCUUAUGGUUUUGAGCUCUUGCAGGAAAAGAGUUGAUUAACAUUCCUGUUAAAAGAUCAAUGUUGUGUUGUUUUCUUGUUGAAACUAUUGCUGAAAUAUUUAUGUUGUCAUGUUGCAUUAUCAUAUACUUAAAGGAAAGACUUAGAAAACAUCCCAGACAUAAUUCACCCAUGGUUGCCAUGGUAAUGGACAUUUGUUUUCAACUUGGUGGAUUUUCAACUUGCCAUUAAUGUUCUCCAGCUCCAGAUCUAGUGCCUGUUACAGUUUAUCUAACAUGAAUGGUACAUGUGUGAAAAUAUUGAAAGCCAGUAAUAAUUUUGAAGUUCUGGAUCAACAUUGUGUUAAAACUGCAUAAAGAUGCACAUUGUGUUGUUUUUGUUCUGUUCCAGAUACUUGUAUUAAAACCUUUCUUGACCUUU